CAGUCGCCGCGGGAAUACGGAGGGCGCGAGCGUUACCCGGAUUUACUGGGCGUAAAGGGCGUGUAGGCGGCCUGGGGCGUCCCAUGUGAAAGGCCACGGCUCAACCGUGGAGGAGCGUGGGAUACGCUCAGGCUAGAGGGUGGGAGAGGGUGGUGGAAUUCCCGGAGUAGCGGUGAAAUGCGCAGAUACCGGGAGGAACGCCGAUGGCGAAGGCAGCCACCUGGUCCACUUCUGACGCUGAGGCGCGAAAGCGUGGGGAGCAAACCGGAUUAGAGACCCCUGUAGUCCCUGUCUCUUAUAC
rnacentral:rRNA from 1 species